rnacentral:rRNA from 1 species
AACGAACGCUGGCGGCAUGCCUAACACAUGCAAGUCGAACGAGACCUUCGGGUCUAGUGGCGCACGGGUGCGUAACGCGUGGGAACCUGCCCUUAGGUUCGGAAUAACUCCCCGAAAGGGGUGCUAAUACCGGAUAAUGUCUUCGGACCAAAGAUUUAUUGCCUUUGGAUGGGCCCGCGUUGGAUUAGCUGGUUGGUAGGGUAAAAGCCUACUAAGGCGACGAUCCAUAGCUGGUUUGAGAGGAUGAUCAGCCACACUGGGACUGAGACACGGCCCAGACUCCUACGGGAGGCAGCAGUGGGGAAUAUUGGACAAUGGGCGAAGGCCUGAUCCAGCAAUGCCGCGUGAGUGAUGAAGGCCUUAGGGUUGUAAAGCUCUUUUACCCGGGAUGAUAAUGACAGUACCGGGAGAAUAAGCUCCGGCUAACUCCGUG